rnacentral:lncRNA from 1 species
GGUGGCUAAGGAGGCAUCAGCCAGGAGUCACAGAUCCUAGUGGGUUGUGGGGGGAAGACCACCAAGCAGCCCUUUUACCUGAGGCACCUGCUUGGGACAAUCCAAGCAGGUCAUCUCUCUUCUGUGUGCUCCAGAACUUACACACUAUCCUCUACCUUCUACAGAAACUUGGGAGAUUUUCCAUAUGAGCUAGUACAUCCCCACUUUGAAGAUAUCAAAAGUUCACACUAGAGACUGGAAGGAGAUGUGUAUGCCACCGUAGUCCCUGGAACCCGUGUUCCUUUAUGGAUGGGAUGGAGCAUUAAUAAAAAGAAUCAGGUAGCAGUACGGAGCUCCGGCUCCUGGGAAGUCAGCGCUCCACAAUUUAUUACAAACACUGGUGGGGUGACAAGAGAGGGGGGAAAGCCCUUACAUGAACGGUACUGCCUUGGGAAGCUGCAGCUGCAGCAGGAGGGGACUGAGCCCAGUGAGCAUAGCUAGAGGAUAUUGAAAGUUCCUUAUGGUUGGCAGUUGACUGGGGAAAAAUGAAAGCGAAGCAUUAAGAUUUAUUUUGUUAUCGAGAGUAGCUGACUCCUGAGCUUCUGGACUCCAGCCUUCUGCUGCCAUCGUGCCUGAUGUGGGAUGCUGGAUUACAAAUGUGUGCUGUCACACCCCACUUCGCAUAGGUG